GUGCCAUAAACUAUCAUUCAACGACAGAAUUAUCGCUAUUUAACUAAUUUUUGUGGAAAAAACAAGCAAAAUCCGAGUAUUGAUCGGGGAGGCAACGACGAGAUUUCUGGCACACUCUCCCACCUGGUCCCCACCAUAACCUCACUCACACAAACGUACAUUUCCUUCUUCUAUACCUAUAUAUUUACACUUCGAAUGGUUGGAUUAUGUGCGUGAUGGAAACAAGAAACGACUAACCUCGUAUUAUUCGGCUAUUUGUUUUCGUCGUAACGUCAGGGGAAAGGGCCAUUCCUUAGAAACACUACGUAGUUUCCGAAGUCAAGGACAGUUUGAGGUUGUCUUUAACGAUGCUAUUUACUACGCGUGAUUUUUAGAAGCUUAUAGGUUACGUCACGUUUGUCGUUAAUUAUUUUAACAAUACAAACAUUGAAUCUUUGGAAACAUUUUUCGAUCUCUUACAAUGUUAACUUGCAUUCAACAAGCAAAACGAGUAUUUUACCUCUACAUGAGUGCUUCUCUUGUUUCUACUAUCUUUAAUAGCUCGAGAUAAGAUUGCAUUUUUGAUCUUCUGCAAGUAUGAGUGAGAUGACGUUGUUAUCGUAUAUAAGUCUAUAGAUGGUAAUGAACAAUUCGGUGCAUAUCUUUAUCAGAAUUACUGUUGAAUCACUAAUCAAGGAGACAGUGAACUAUGACACAGUACAGAAGUGCACUGGCCAAAUGAUCCUAUAUGAUCAAUUUUCGAAAAACACACAUUUCUAGAAAAUAUUAAGUAUCUAUUUUUUCCAUUGAGCGCGAAUACCAGAAUUUCGUUCUGUGAAGUCACUCUCAAGGUGGGGAGAGCAAUGGUCAGUUAAUGAAGUAAAAUCCCGGCCAGAUUACAUGGCGUAUUUCGUCAUGAAAGCUGCGUAGUUACCCGAAACAUAUGUUUGCUAGAAACGAAUUCCAUCGAUACGGUAGGACAGAAAGGUAGAUAAAAGGAGGAUAAAGAAGCUCGUUACUUUAAGACAAUUCGGAGGCAUGGUCAUAACUCUGACCCAUGUCACGCAAUAAAUAGCAUCAUGUUUGCAAACACACACGAGCUACAUAUAUGUAUAGCGUGAUACAGGUCAGCAUUCUGAGGUUAAUGAGGUUGAUCAUGGCAGGAAAAGUAACGUGACACGUUAAUCACGUGUUAAUUUUAUCGCAUUUGCUCAAUCACGUGUCACAACGACCUUCCAAAACCAACGACGCUUAUGCAAAGGGCGCGUAUUAUUGCGCAAUACAGGCUUCACGUGACAGCUGUAGCUCUAUCGAUUUUUCGUAUGCGUCUUCUGACCUAAUGCGUAGUAUCUUGCUUGAAGGGCGUAACUGAUGCAAGUUUAUUCAUGGGAAUAAGGAUCGUGGCCAAGAUCCCUACGGGUUGAAUGAUGAAAGGAAAAUUACCAGGCAACCUGGCCAUAGAAGCGGAAGCAUAAAGCUGAGCAGAUGUUCGCGAUAAAUUCACACACAACCGGGAGGGGCAAGAACAGAACCGGAAUAUGUCUAUCGACAUAUGUAUCCAGCUGGAUGCAGACCGCGCGUCUCCUAAUGUUUUCAUUACUCUCUCAGGUGCACGAAUGCGUAACAUUCUGGAAUGAUAUGGUUUCGUAGCUGCUUAACGACUCGAUAUGUACAUAUACGCAUGUAUAUAUGUGUAUAAUGUAGUCGGAUGAUGCUCGUAUGGAAUAUUAUAAAUUUAAUAGCGUUGUCUAUGCAACCGCUGAGUCGUCGGAUAUAUUAAAAAACUAGCAUAUAGUUACUGAUACUGAUCUUCGUAUGGUUUAAUGCAUUGUGACGUUCGUGGUGUUUGUGCACCUUGCUAAUUACGGAUGUUCGACAUUCAACCGUUGUUUUAUCAACCGUUGUGUCGCAUGCAAUAGUGGCCAUCUUCUUAUCGACCGAGUACACCUUUUAAUACGUUUUAACGUCGCGUCAACUACACAAAUACAUGAUAUUAGCAACGAUAAUGAGGAUUGAAAAUAGUAUGGGGUUUCAAUGUUGUUAUAUAAUAUCGUGCUUAUUAAGAAAGAGAAAAAUUUGGUUUCUGUCAUUGAGAUUUUGGAUUUUAUUUUCGUAGAAACAAAUAAUAUUAUUAACAAUAGAAGAAAUGAAUCAAUUGAAAA